UCGCUCCAUAAGACGCACUUUUCCCCUCCUAAAAAGUAAGGGGGGUUGUGUGCGUCUUAUGGAGCGAA